AACAAAGGCGAUUGGCUACUUUGGCUUACCGUUGUGCUCUCGAACCUCGCGAAUGUAGUUGUUAGUCCAAUGUAAUAUUUGGUAGAAACAGCGUGAGAUGCAGUGAAACAAGAAAAUAGACAGGACAGAAAACGAAAAUACAGAAAGAUAAAUACAUAUCAGAGUUUUAGCCUGCGAAUGGUCAGACGGGAUUUCGUGAGAAUGAGUAAUCCAAACGUUCAAGGAUAGCUGGCUGCUCGAAGUCACGUAGCUAUCGAGUGACACAGGAUCGAAUUUUCGGAAGACGCGUGGGAGAGUUUAGACGUGACAAGUAAUCCGAAUACGUUUACCAAAAAACAGGAAUAUUGUUCCCAGAGAAUUUGGCCGCAGCAUGUCGACUAAAAUACCUUCUGCUGAAUGCAUUGUGAAUGCCUCGUCUACACUCACAGAGCUGUCCAGCUGGACAAAUUGUAAAGUACAAAUUAAAUAAUAAGAAAAAAAACUCACAGAUACUGUCUGUAGAUGAUAGUCUUCGUACAAUGUCCGCUGCUAGUCGUUGGAUCAUGUAUGCAGACUGUCUGCACACGAUGUCGUUUAUCUACUGCAGUCUAAAGUCUAAUGAGGGUGCCGGCUACUUGUGAUUUUGUAUCAGCCGACCUUUUGCACGACCAUAACCGUCCCAGCCCAUUAUUUCGGAUACCCGCACACCCCUAUAACCUGUCCAACGAGACGAGAAAGUGGACAUAAACGAAAUGUAAUACCUGCAGCCACGGCAAUUGCACCUAAUUAGUGUCUCCGGUUAUGUCUCUUUUUUCUCUAAGACUGUCAGUAGAUAGCGGAUUUCUAUGGAUUUGUGGGAAAUUUUACAAUACAACAUUGCACAGAAUGCACAUAAUAUGAAGAAAUGUAUGAAAUGUACAAAGCAUAACACUUUCUAUAAUGCUUGACAGAAAGUUGGUUCGAAAAUAGAAUGGAACGCGAGAAUUGUUGCCGAACCGGUGGCGAAAGAAAGAAAAUCAAAACAAAACCUGCCAGCGUAAGGACGAUUAAAUUGAACUGCACGUUGUCGUUUCCACGUUCUUUCAACAUCUGUCCAUAGUCGUUGUCCCUUAUUUUCUAUCGCAAUGGAAACUUACAUUUUACCCGCUGUUAUCUCCCGAUUUUUCUCCAACAACGUACACAGAUUGACUGCGGAAAUAUGUCUACGGACAAUUGUCUGUCAGUGUAGACGAGGCUGAAGACGUAAAGGUACGCGUCCACUUGAAGGUAAAACUAUCGCGAGCUGCUCUCCAGAGUCACUCGCGACAAAUGCUAUCGAGUGUAACUCGCGAUAGAUUUACUUUCAAGUGGCGUCGUAUCUUCAAAGUACUUCAGAACCUGAGAACAUAACGAAGUGGGAGAUUGAAGUUGUUGAAAGUGGAUCUAGUUAAAAACGAUUUUAUGAUUAGAUGCGUAAAAUUAUUGGAUGAAACUUUUAAUACAAAAAAAAUAUCAUUACGAUUAAUCAUAUUAAUAUUUAAACACGGAAAUAUCUCUCCAAUUGUUGCUAUUUGUAUAGACAUAUAAGAGUUACUGUUAGGGAGAAAUUAUUUACUUUCGAGCUACAGGAAAUGGUUCAUAUUUUCGUAGAAUAAGCAGUAAGAUAUUCAAAUCAUCCUCUUUUACACAAAGCAACAAAUACAUGGAUAGAAUAACAGGAAACCUGAGCAAUUGGUAAGAGAACUGAGUUGUCAUAAAAACCAUAGAAACGUUGUUACCACAGAUAUCUGUAUAUAUGCUGUAGAUCCUGGGUUUUACGUUUAUUGUUCAAGUGUAAUUUAGGCUUAAGACAAUUGAUUGUAUCCAAAAACUACAACGUAUGAAUGGAGAAAUAAAUAUAUAUAUAUAAUAUACAAGGUGAGUCAGAACAUGUGAGAAGCGCGGCAGGGACUGAAUCAGCAAGCUAAAAUAAGCAGGAAAGUUCACAUAAAUACAUAUUCGAUAUGAUUUAGGUUUCGAAUCACAGUUUAUUUUGUGAUACUAAACACUAUUUAGAUCAACGAUUUCCUGCCACAGGGAUAGGCCGUACUAUCUAUGCUUAUUUCCUGAUCAGCUUUCCAGACCUGAAUCAAUCCGAUCAUUAGUUAUGAAGGCAUUUAAAAUCUCUUGUUCAUAAAAUGUCAAUUGACAAGGUUGAAACUCUUUAUGAAACUCAACAUGACGACCAAAUUCGCUAACGUGUCCGUGUAAGCUGUUCGAACAAGUUGGACAAUCUAUGAUGCGAUGCAUUCGCAUGUCUAUCGAAGCUGGACCUGGUCACUUGGAGUAAUUUCUCUGAAGCUCAGCCUGGAUACGCGGAUAGAGCCGAAUAUUAAAACGCGAGGAACUGUAUAUAAAUAAUUGUUACGUAAACUUUUCUGCAUUAAUAUUACGUAGCUAGAUAUUACGAAUAUUACGGAGCGUGAAAGAAAAGGAGAGGAACUGAUAAGGAAGUACAAGCCGGCUGUAUAGAACGUCACGUCAGUAGGCAGGCUAAGUAACAAGCCCACUUUAUUACACGGCGCCUUACAUUUAUGUGCCUCCUAGAGUUGAAGUAACCACGCAACGCUUUUAGCUGCCUCGUUCGUCCUUCUUCCCUUAUUUUCUUUCGCCCCCGUCUAACUUCCCUCCUGGUUCCACUGGAAUCUUUUUCACUAUUUCGCCUCUAUUACGAUAUCGUGAUGUUGUGCGACUCCCUCAUUAGCAAGGCGUUAGAUGCUCCAAUUACUUAAGAGUUCUCGUUUGGAACUUGGCGAAGUUGCUCAAGACUGCCAAUUUAUUCCAUCUCACGGUUUUGAUAGCGUAUUUCUAGAGUUACUCUCGCUCAUUCACACGUAUCACUGUCUACUUAAAAAAUUAAUUAACCGGAUCUAACACGCGAAAGCAGAAGAAGGAAAUUAAUUAAAUCAAUCUGUGAAAUCACAGCGAUUCUGUCUUGAUUCUGAUCUGUCGAAUAGACAUAGUGAUGACCGUAAGGAUAUUCUGUGCUACUAAUGCAAAUUCGAACAUUUCAGUAUACGUACGUGUAAAUGUGACAGUAAACCCUGUGUUUGCUAAUGUUUGUUCAUACACAGAGUAUUCGUUUCGCUUAAUAAACAUUAAUAAUUUUAGACGUACACGUGAACAGUCAACAACUUUCCCUAAACGAAUUUUAUCGUGUAAAGAUAUGUUACAUCAUUGAUAUAUUUCUGGAAUUUGAAUUUAAGGAAAUAAGACAAUACUUUUAGUUCUGAUCGAUUUCUUUGAUCCUUCUUACUUGAUUCUUUCUACAAUAUCGAGAAGAAACAACUAUAAUUUUGUAUUUGAUAAAAAUAGGAAACUAGACAAGGAGAAACAACGAUAUGAUCCGAAUAAACCGGUUGAUUAAGGAAAAUAUAGUUUAGAAAUUACUCUAAUGGCUAUUGCAAUAUCUUAUUGUCAUCUAUUAAAUUACAAUAUAAAAGAAUAAAUAUUAAACUUGCUUAAUCAUGAAUAAAUAGAUAAAUCAUAAUAUAAUUCAUAAUAUAUUUUAUAUGUUAUAUAUAUAAUAAAUUAUAAUCUGUUCCGGAUAUCAUGUGAUCAUAUUCACGGUUCAUUAAAUUUUCUACAUAAUCUUGUUUGUCACAAACUAAUUUCAUAAUAUUCGCGGGAAAUUGCCAAUAUCCAUGCAAUUAUUCACCACUUUAUAGUCGCAUUUAAUUUAUUAUUUUAUUGAUAGUAGUAGUAUGGAUGAUGCGUGUCAAGCCUAAUUUAACCAGGACACGAUACAGCAAUUGCUUAUAGCAGUAAAAGAAGGGAAAAUAAUUAUUACGACCAUUUGGCAUGACGCCUCUAUACAAUCUUUUUUUUAAAAAAAGGGAAAUAAAUUUCAAUUUGUUUUUUUUUUAUUUUCAGAAUCUUCUUCUAUCUUUCUUUAACGCCUACUUAUUUAACGUUAUGAACUUGAGCGUUAAGGGUUUGAAUAUUUAAGAAAUAUCUUUUUAUAGAUGUAACAUCGGUACUAACUGUCAGAAUUCAACAGAUAUGACUUAUGCUAGUAUCUGUAUAACUGACAUCGUACGAGACAACGAGGCAGUUGCGCCUGAAAUAUGCAGCCGGUUGCCGCUCGCAUGACACGUACGUUCCCUCAGACUUUUAUUGUAUACGCUAAGGAAGGAAACGUAAUCUCCCGAAUGUCAUGAUUAUACAGCGACUUGGCCAUAAUUUAUUGCGCUGAUUAUCAGACAAGGGAAUCAUAUAUUACAUACGUUGGAUUUUAAGUUUGCAUAAAUGGUCCAUUUGUUAUAUUGCCAUAGAAUAUGGGGAAGCUACAUGCAUUAAGUAAGCUGAAUAUAGAUUGGUAAGCAGGGAUCAGAAAUAACAAUUGGCUUUGAGAUUUUUUUGAAAAAGCUCAUUGGCAAGAAGGUAAUUUUCGUUUAAAUAAAAGACUCGAGCCUUGAAGAAAUUUGUUUAACAAUUAAAUGAUUAAACGAUAUUAAUUUUCAAGUAGUCCAGUUACGAAUAACCAUUAUAAAUGAUGCUCAAAAGGUUUUUGCUUAUCGAUGACUAUUAUCGAUGGGAAAAUUCCUUUCUGGUUACCGUUAACCAUCAUCCGUGGAGGAAUUUUUGUUCACUCACCAAAAACCAUUAUAAGUGAGAGAAUUUUUUUGAUUACCGAUAACCAUUAUUCGCGAGAGAAUUUUUUUGGUCACCAGUAACUUAAUAAUUAGUAUUCGCUACGAAACUUUUUUUUGGUCACCAAUAUCUAUUUUCCGUGACGGAUUUUUUUCGCUUAUCGAUAACCAUUGUCUGUGAUGGAAUUUUCUUUCUGUUACCGAUAACCAUUAUCGAUAAGGGAAUCUUUUUUAAGCAUUUCUGACAUCCAGUUCGGUCAUUUAUAAUAUUUAUACGUAACCAAAAUCGGUUAAACUAAUCUACCAAUUUUUAUGCUGCGACUAUUUUCCUUUCGGUUAUGGUAAGGUACAGGUACCCUGUUGAUAAGACAAUAUCGGAUCAAAUUUACACAGACUCGAUCUAAAGUAGAACUUUCGUCAGUGCUUACGCAAUAUGUCACGUUUGCAAUAAUUUUGCUUUCCUCGAUAAAUUAAUAUAGCUUCUCCCAUUUUUAAAAAUACUCGUUUCUAAUCGGUCUCUCUUCUGUACCACGUACAAUUGUACCUUAAGGUUUACGAUAUCUAAUACUUAACAAAAUCAGUAGAAAAAUGAUUACGUGUGAAGUAUAGAAGCUAGCGUGGUAUAAUCUUGCAAUUGAAACAUUAUCUUGCAUUAUAAGUACUUACCGUUCUAAACCCAACUACACGAACUAUAAAUGUAAAAUACGCUGUUUAUCCAUUUUACCACGUGCUUAUUAAAAUUUCCAAUGUUCCUACAUACUUACUUGCUCCGUUACGUAGCCACGUGUUUAGUUAUAUAUACUUUUCCAGCACAUAGUGAUCGUACAUAUUGUUACAAAAACAGCGGCUAUUAAAAAGGUAUAUAAAUAUAUCAUAGAACAAUGUGCUUCAAGCAAAUCAAACAAGAAAGGUGAAUAAAUAAUUUAACAUACUUAAAACAUGGUACACUUUACAGUUACAUGCGACACCAUGUUUGCAAUUCGUUAUCUCAACUAAAAAUUACAUCGUUCAAGAAGUUCAAACUUUCUCCUUCUAAUACAUUUCUGGAUCACGUGCCAUCGUAUAAUCUUUUUUCAAUAUUUCUCUGGAUAGGAAAACGCGGGCGCUAUUUCUAUCGUUAGCUUGACAUCGGUCGAUCAUUUUGCUAUUUUUCCAAAAUGUUUUCGUUCUGAUUCCAUUAUUUCCGCUUCUGCGAAUAUAAUCAACUGAAGUAUUAUACAGGUCGACGAGUUCUAUUCUUUCAUGUAAGAAAAAAAAGAGAUUUGUAUCGUUUCUAAAAUAUAUGAAAAUAUGUCGGCCAGGUAGCAAGUUUCAUCUACGUCUUACGUCACUUUCUCUUUUACAGAAAAUCCUAACUGAGUAGAUUUGAACCCGAAUAUUUCACUUGCAUUAUUUACAUUAUGUUAGAACGUGAAUUUCUCGUCAGGGUAAUAUUAUACAAACUGAAUUUAAUAGAAAUCUAGUACGCGCGAUUUAUAACUUUUAUAAUGUUCGCUACGAUUCAGAAAUAUUUUACCAUGUGUAUUUUAUUCGUAUUUACUGCGCGUCGAACAAACGAAUCGGUAUUAAAUUUUCAAUAUAUUGGCAAUUUUUCACCAUAUUAAAAUAAUCUUUCGUUAGAAACAUAUUUUACUUUAAUCCAAUAGUGUAAUAAAAGCAUAAAAAAGUCAAGCUAUUUAUAUAGCGUUUCCUCUGCUUGGUCAUACAUCGUUUUUUUUUUCCAGUCCUUUAUCAACUUCAUGCCCGCGAUAUAUCAUUUUAAAAGUUACAUUUCACCGAGCACUUUAAUGCGAAUUCAUCUUUUGCGAGACUUUAAACGUGCCAGGACGUACAAGGAAUAUUUUCGUCGUAUUACAUCUAUUUCUACUAUCUCAAAGACACGCAAAAUAAAAUUUUGGCAAUUACUCCGUAAGUAUAUAUAUAUAAAAAAAAGCACGAAUUUACGUUAUAACGUAAUUUUGCUCUCCAAUUUUUGUCAGACGACAAAUCAGACGAAUGUUGCAUGUCACGAUCAUUGCAUGUAAUCCGAAACUGUCAAACGAAGCAAUCAGCUCGUUUAUAAUUUAUCAAAAUUAUUUUUGCAACCUGCUUCAAUAUCGAAUUUAUUGCUGCUUUGUAAGAGAGCUUGUUAGCAUCGAUGCUCUGCAACUUCGCUAACAAUACUAGUUCAAUUACACGAGAGAACCGUAUCUAACUAUUUGCAGUAUCCAAAGAAUAGAGAUAUCCUAUGGUUCAAGCUAAGAUGAAAAUCAAGAAGAACGAAAUUGCUGGCUUGGUUUUCGAGAAAAUCGCAUUAGGUGUACGUAAUGUGGAACACGUGAACGAUAUUGCCACUGAUAACGACGACAAUGAUACAGAAUUAUAUUUAUCUUGUGGCGGCAAUUACGAAGGAGACAAGAAUAGUGAAAAACGUAUUCGUCGGGAACACGACGGAUGUACGUCAGGUGCGUGAUUCGCGUGUUCAACGUGUAGAAGACAAAGAAAAUUAAUAUGACAGAAUACAAGUUAAAAAAAUGGAAGAUAUUUGUUGGUUUGUCCUUUUUCUUUAAAUAAACAUUCAUUCUUCUUAAUAAAAAUAGAGCGUCUUUUUCUAGGUAUUUCAUAUUGGCUACUAUCUUUAUAGCUCGUCGCAACACAUGCAAUUUUCAAUUACUUCAACACGUUUAAGCUUUUACAUAGUUAACUAUUAACGUGUUAAUUUCGUUGGAGAAACGUAUGCCUCCCUCUUUGGGGAGCUUUAAAAAUUGGGUGCUCCGUAUUACACGCAGUUCCCUAUCUCUUCGUAGUACAUAAAAUCGUACACAAAAUCUUUAUACACAAGAAGCUAGCAGUGUAAGAAUAUAUAGAAGUGUGUGUUCAAAACUAGCGUAAUUGAAAUGUAGAUAUAGAAUAAAAUAAGAAUUCUAUAGAAUUAGGAUUCUACUUUUGCUUCUAACAAUUUUUAAAUAUACAGUAGAAUUAAGGUAGAAUAAUUCGAAUGGUUUGCAAAUAU